GAUGAAGAACGUAGCGAAAUGCGAUAAUUAAUGUGAAUUGCAGAAUUCCGUGAAUCAUCGAGUCUUUGAACGCACAUUGCGCCUCAUGGCAUUCCGUGAGGCAUGCCCAUCUCAGCGUUAGAAAAUAUUCUCAAAUUUUAGUUUUGUGCUAAAAUUUGGAUCAUGUCAAGGAAGCUAUUACUAUUAUUGUGAUCGCUCUUUGGAAAUUGAUAGGUCUUUGAGUUGCUACUCAUAGAACGUGAUGAAUCUUUCUUCGUUCUAUUGUUAUUCACUCUGGUAGUCCUAAAACUUGUAUGCCUGUGGCAUAUCUUGUAAUUUGACCUGAGAUUGGGUAGGGAUACCCGCUGAACUUAAGCAUAUCAAUAAGCGGAGGA
rnacentral:misc_RNA from 1 species